rnacentral:tRNA from 1 species
GGGGAAGUCGCAUAGCGGUCAAUUGCAGCAGACUGUAAAUCUGCCGGCGUAAAGCCUACGUUGGUUCAAAUCCAGCCUUCCCCACCA